AUGGGGCGCUUACAGGGCUGUAGUUUAUGUAUUGAAGACAUUGGAUUUGGUGGCACAAGGAUUGCCAGGCUGGAGAGGCUCUCUUGGUGCGGAUCAUUGGGAAAAUUGCUCUCUCACACAUCGAUCUUACGUUUAUCACACCAGGUCAUUUAUAUUUUGAAAGAACAGGAUAUGGGGAUAUGGCGUUAAUCGAUGUGCCACCUGAACUAAAAUUCUUAAACCUGUUAGUGUGCCUAACUUACCAACUGUAGUGUUGUAAUGGUGUAAUUAAUUCUGUGGAGCCAGUCACUGAGAACACUCACGAUUGCCCAGCCGAAAUUUGUAUUUCCUUGAGCUUAAAAGUUUUGGGUCUGAAAUUUCACAAACAUUAUGAACACCCUGUUCUGCCCAACUGGCUGAAUUGAAGUCUAUCACUAAAGAAUGCAACCUGGUUAAGGGUAGAAUUGUUAAAAUAUAUAUAUAUAUAUAUAGAUAAACACUGACGUGUAGGCCCAUGGACUGUGUCGUCUGUUUGAAUGCAAUGUGGUUUUAGGAAAAAGCGUUGGAACGCCACUUAUCGAGCAAAUAGUUUAAUUGAAUUCUGAUGGGACCUUAUGGACUCUGCACUCAACGGUGGAGGAUAACCUGAAUGUGAUAUUUGUGCUCAAAAAAAAAUAAAAUUUUGUUUUUCCUUGACCAGGGAGAGGUCUGGCAUACCCUGAUUUGUGUUUGGUGUAAUUCAUGCUGAUCCUAAACAUAUUUCGGUAGAUGCUCUACCUCUUGCACUAAUGACCUAUCACAUGCAGAAUUACAGCAAUGUGUGUCUAACACCGCAUGAAAUGCUUAUGGGUCGGCCCAUGUCUAUGUCUGUUCCUUGUUGGGGACUGCUACUGGAGUAAUUGCAGAUGAAUCAAAAACAUAUAUGAGACCUCUAACUGUUAUGUAUGGAGCUGUAUAUUCACAGGAACAGAGCUGAGUGCAGUGUUAUGUGUGAGGCGUCACCGCCUCAACGGGGGGAGGUGUUCACCCGGAGGUGGGAGACCUGGAGCCGCGAGAGAAUGCUGACUAUGAGAAUGCUGACUACAGGGCAGCAGCGGACUAGAACAUGCAACCCCUGGAGGAUGCUCAAUCCUCCAAUGACGAGAUGGUGGUCCGGUGGGUCCGAAGCUUCAACGGGGGGUCUGCUCAGUCAGUGGCAGACAGGAUGAGAAGAUGUGAAGAUCCAUACCCUGGGUGUACGUGCUAGCCUAACCUCUCCCCAAAGGGUGGCUCUCUACAGUACGUAAAGUGCUUGAGCUGAAGACAACCAGCAUACAGAGAGAUACUGCAUACAACAGACUGUCAAGUAUUGUUAUAAAAUGUUAUAAAAUGUUUAUAUAUAUAAAAUGUGAUAUGACGCAAUCAGGCACAGAAAAGUAUAAUGGUGCUGCCGAGCACAUAGUGCUGGCAGGGUGGGAAUUUUUCCUCAUAAGAGGUUUUUUCGCCCACCCCUGACUGCGAAAGACUGGGGUUUGGUUUUUGAGGGGAAGCAAGAAUCUGCAGGUCCCGACAAAUACAAAACUGUGGGCUGACAGGCCUAGUUGAGAAAGAUAGGGACGUGUAGAUCCAAACAAGUAGUUAGUUAUUGUAGUGGCCACUCAUACGUACGGCAGUAGUAGUAGUAGUAAUGAAUGAUUAGGGGAACUCAGUUAAUCACACUUAUAAUCGAUGUAGGCAAACAAAGUAUAAUCAAGGUAGUUAGAUUCGAAAUGAUAUAUAUAUAUAUAUAUAUACAUAUAUAUACAUAGUUAAAAGGAGAAGUAGGUUAAGGGUUAAGAGUUAUGGCUAGGUACAUCUACACAUGUCCGGCAAGUGGAUGUAGGGGGG
ensembl:lncRNA